rnacentral:rRNA from 1 species
CCUACGGGAGGCAGCAGUGAGGAAUAUUGGUCAAUGGUCGGGAGACUGAACCAGCCAAGCCGCAUGAGGGAGGAAGGUACAGAGUAUCGUAAACCUCUUUUGUCAGGGAACAAAGGCGGGGACGUGUCCCCGGAUGAGUGUACCUGAAGAAAAAGCAUCGGCUAACUCCGUACCAGCAGCCGCGGUAAUACGGAGGAUGCGAGCGUUAUCGGGAUUUAUUGGGUUUAACGGGUGCGCAGGCGGUCUGUUAAGUCAGCGGUCAAACCCCGGGGCUCAACCCCGGCCCGCCGUUGAAACUGGCAGUCUCGAGUUGGAGAGAAGUAUGCGGAAUGCGAGGUGUAGCGGUGAAAUGCAUAGAUAUCGCGCAGAACUCCGAUUGCGAAGGCAGCAUGCCGGCUCCACACUGACGCUGAGGCACGAAAGCGUGGGUAUCGAACAGGAUUAGAUACCCCAGUAGUC